rnacentral:lncRNA from 1 species
GCUCUUUGUAGGACUACUAAGUGUGUUCUGUUACUGGCUAUCAUGCUGUAUAUUAUAAUGCUUCUGGCACAGUAAAAGUAUCACAGAGGACGACAGAAGCUCUCAGUCCUUCCUUCCUUCCAGGUACAAGAUAAACUGUUGGAAAGCUCGAGGAGAGGCAUGAGGACGCUCAGUGUCUACCUGACCACAGAUGAUGUGCUUAACAGGCUGACCUCCACAGACAGCUGCAGCGACCAGGAAGCGAGGGCAGGGGUGCCUCUGGGAAGCCUCCCGGGGAGCGGCUCUCGCCAGCAAACACACCUUCCAUUUAGGAGAAGGGAAAUGUGAAGCUUGUCGGCAGCACACCUGUUAACACAUUGCAUCAGGCUAAUGUAGCCCUUUCUUCAUGAAGCCUCCCGAAUGCUCACAGUGUCCUAUUAGGAGGGUGACAGCAAAACCAAGUAAUAAGAACAUGCAGAUGGCUGUCUAGAGCUGCUUCUCUGCUUCUGUCAUUGUGACAAAAUUCCUGAGAUAACCGACUUAGAAGGAGAAAAGGUUUAUUUUAGCUCCUGGUUGUUUGGCCCUGCUGCUUUGGGCUGGUGGCAGCAUAGUAUGAAAGGGCAGGAGCACUCAGUGGAGGAAGCCUGCUCACCUCAUGGUGGCCAGGAAGCCGAGAGAGAGGACGAGGAGGGGCCAGGGCCCCAACAUUCCCGUCCAGGGCACGCUCCCCCCACCCCACAGUGGCCUCACCUCCUACCGCAAGCCCCACCUCUGCCACGUUCCAUCACUUCCCAGUAGCACCCUGGACUGGGGAAUGAGCCUCUUCACCAUGUGGACCUUUGAGGAACAUUCCAGAUACAAACUGUAGCAAGCAAUGAGUACUCGUGAGGCCUGUUCCCUAGCAGACGAACACGUACGAUGUGCAUGUGCUCCCACCCCUCUGCUUAGGAGGGCAGAGCACCCAACUGCAGAAUGCGGAAGAAGCAGAGUCAAAACACCAAAUGGUCUUUCAGAGUUAAACAGACGCUUAAAAUACCAAGUUUGUUUAGUCUUCUCAGUUAAUCCAUCAUCCAUCUAAUUCGAAUUCACUGUUUCUGUUAAUAAACAUCAUGUCCAGUGGGGGCUGGGGCCAAGAGAAAAGGCCUUCAGGUACAGGAGGACAGACGUCUUCAGAGAAUGUUCCAAGAGAAACCCCACACUCCAGGCUCUGCAGACCGAGGUAUUUUGCAGUGAAUAUGCUACAAAAGAAUUUGUUAAAGUAAUCGCCUUUACUAGUCGGUGGUUUCCACAGCAGCUGCACAGCAACUCACGUGCAUAAUCGGGCUCUAAUGAAGGGGACAGCCAACUGUGCCAGAGGAUACUCUAUCCCAAUCUUCUCCGCAUGUGGGUGAAGCCAGCUAUUGUCUACAACCGUGUUCUGUGAACUCUCUAAUAUGCAUGUCACAUUAUUCUGUCCUGUCCCCAGACUGGCCACUAUUACCUCCGUUAUAUGUGUCUGGGGUGGGUGAGAGUUGAAGUAACUUGACCAGGCUCACACCAUAAGUUCAAGUUUGGAUUCCACAUCUGUGCAACUCAUCCACAUUUAAUUCCUCCAGUACUUCAUGCUGAUUAAAAAAAAAAAAAAAAGCUCCUCUGCAAAGUUGUUUCUGAUCAUUUUAGUCUAAAUUCCACAUUUCUCAGGCUAUAAUGGAAGCAGAUCUUAUUUUACAAAGCAGGAUCCAAGCCCUACAGGACUGGAGGUCUCCUUAGGCCUCUCAUCAUCCUGAGGAGUCGCCCAGGCAACAGCCUAUGGAAGCUGAGUCCCCACACCUGGCUGUGUCUGUCCCUGAAUAGAGGCUCCAGCCAACUGAGGCCCAGGAGCCAGAGCGCCUCGGGGCUCUGUGUCCUGCCUGGGGCCCACCUCAGCCCAGGAGAGGCCGUUUUUUUGGAAUUGCUCUGCUAAGACAGGGCACUUUCUGGCAAGGUUUCCCAGGUCGCCCUUGCCUGAGUCACAUGGGACCUGGAGGCAUGCUGGCUGCAGGGGAGUAAAGGCCCCCACCUGCAUAUUUGCACCCUCAAGGGCAGGGAGUGCUGUGUGGAAGCCUCCCAUGCCAGCAGGCAUGUCAGCAGGGAUGCCAGAAGGGAUGCCAGGCCAGAGGGAGUGAGCCCUGAGGGAAGGGGGCGGGGCAGAGCCCUGGGCAUCCAAGGCCACUGUGAACAAACCCACCAUAUUUAAGGAAGCCAAACUGUGGAUCCUGAUAUUCCAUAGAGUUCUAUUAUGUUCUCAAUGUUUUAUAAUGAGAAACAACAAAAUUUACUUCAGACCUCACUUUAUGUACCUGCAUUGCUUCCAAGGGACCAUUAACGUUAAAAUUAAAUUGAUUAAGGAUUUGGUGGAAACAUUUUAUAUGGAAUCAUGCUAAAUGGAAAAAAUCCUAAUACAGAAAAUUAGAGUGUAAGGGUAAAAGAAAUUGAAGUUAAAGCGUAAAAGUUAAAGGGUAAAAGACCAGGUGUUGUAAAGUUUCUAAGCUGCAAGGUCUGAGUUAAAAUGUAAAGGAUUAGGUAUUGUUAGGUUUCUAUGUUACCUGCAAAACCUGAAAUUUCUGCAGCUGUUAAGACAAUGCUUAGAACCGCCCAGUAAACAUUUCCCCUGGCUGUUUGGUUGUUUAAUAACUGAAGGGCUCUGUGUAACUGGUCACGUAGUCCUUUAGGCCCUAAAACCAAUCAGUUUGAAUGGGUACCCCGUUUAGGAAUGACCUAUCACUCCAGCCUGACCUGUUCCCACCAAUGAAUGAACUAAUCAUGUUUAGGAGUUGUUGUUCAGUUUUCCCGCGCCUCAUGAUGAUUUGUUCUGAUGUAUACAAAGCCCUCCGCCCUCCCCAAAAAGUGUACUUAAGCAGUGCUCAGCCCCUGCUCGGGGCUCUGGGCUGCUUUCCCUUCUUGAGUGGGCACGGAGCCCCAGCAUGCUGGUUCAAUAAAUCCCCUUCUGCCAAUUGCAUGAGUGGUCACUUGGUGGUCUCUUUCUCCGACGCUUCGCCUGACCCUUACAACAGGAUGCUCUGAGACAAAGACACCCUGAGGAUAAUGAAUCUGGUGUUUUUCCUGUUGUUGAUGCCUUUAAGUUUGUUAAAAAAUAAACACAGUGUGAUACAAAAUAUAAAAUUUGAUUUGCAAUUUUAUCAUAUUUUUAGAAAUUACCAGAACUGCUUGUUUCGAUUAAGUGCUCAUGAUUGAUUUGUUUGGAAGCUUUAUUACUAUGUCUUCAGUUGGUUAGAAAACAGUAGGAGAAACAAGGAUUUAGGAAGAUGAAAUCCAAGACUGUGAACCAUGAGUUAGUG